rnacentral:rRNA from 1 species
AUUGAACGCUGGCGGCAUGCUUUACACAUGCAAGUCGAGCGGCAGCGCGGGGGCAACCCUGGCGGCGAGCGGCGAACGGGUGAGUAAUGCAUCGGAACGUAUCCUCGAGUGGGGGAUAACCCAGCGAAAGUUGGGCUAAUACCGCAUGAGCUCUGAGGAGGAAAGCGGGGGACCUGCGAGGGCCUCGCGCUGGAGGAGCGGCCGAUGUCCGAUUAGCUAGUUGGUGGGGUAAAGGCUUACCAAGGCGACGAUCGGUAGCUGGUCUGAGAGGAUGAUCAGCCACACUGGGACUGAGACACGGCCCAGACUCCUACGGGAGGCAGCAGUGGGGAAUUUUGGACAAUGGGGGCAACCCUGAUCCAGCCAUGCCGCGUGAGUGAAGAAGGCCUUCGGGUUGUAAAGCUCUUUCAGACGGAACGAAAUGGGCGGGACUAAUACUCCUGUCUGAUGACGGUACCGUAAGAAGAAGCACCGGCUAACUACGUG